rnacentral:rRNA from 1 species
UCAAGUGAAGAAGCGCAUACGGUGGAUGCCUUGGCAGUCAGAGGCGAUGAAAGACGUGGUAGCCUGCGAAAAGCUUCGGGGAGUCGGCAAACAGACUUUGAUCCGGAGAUGUCUGAAUGGGGGAACCCAGCCAUCAUAAGAUGGUUAUCUUGUACUGAAUACAUAGGUGCAAGAGGCGAACCAGGGGAACUGAAACAUCUAAGUACCCUGAGGAAAAGAAAUCAACCGAGAUUCCCUUAGUAGUGGCGAGCGAACGGGGACUAGCCCUUAAGUGGCUUUGAGAUUAGCGGAACGCUCUGGAAAGUGCGGCCAUAGUGGGUGAUAGCCCUGUACGCGAAAAUCUCUUAGUCAUGAAAUCGAGUAGGACGGAGCACGAGAAACUUUGUCUGAAUAUGGGGGGACCAUCCUCCAAGGCUAAAUACUACUGACUGACCGAUAGUGAACUAGUACCGUGAGGGAAAGGCGAAAAGAACCCCGGAGAGGGGAGUGAAAUAGAUCCUGAAACCGUAUGCGUACAAGCAGUGGGAGCCCACUUUGUUGGGUGACUGCGUACCUUUUGUAUAAUGGGUCAGCGACUUAUUUUCAGUGGCGAGCUUAACCGAAUAGGGGAGGCGUAGCGAAAGCGAGUCUUAAUAGGGCGUCUAGUCGCUGGGAAUAGACCCGAAACCGGGCGAUCUAUCCAUGGGCAGGUUGAAGGUUGGGUAACACUAACUGGAGGACCGAACCGACUACCGUUGAAAAGUUAGCGGAUGACCUGUGGAUCGGAGUGAAAGGCUAAUCAAGCUCGGAGAUAGCUGGUUCUCCUCGAAAGCUAUUUAGGUAGCGCCUCAUGUAUCACUGUAGGGGGUAGAGCACUGUUUCGGCUAGGGGGUCAUCCCGACUUACCAAACCGAUGCAAACUCCGAAUACCUACAAGUGCCGAGCAUGGGAGACACACGGCGGGUGCUAACGUCCGUCGUGAAAAGGGAAACAACCCAGACCGUCAGCUAAGGUCCCAAAGUUAUGGUUAAGUGGGAAACGAUGUGGGAAGGCUUAGACAGCUAGGAGGUUGGCUUAGAAGCAGCCACCCUUUAAAGAAAGCGUAAUAGCUCACUAGUCGAGUCGGCCUGCGCGGAAGAUGUAACGGGGCUCAAACCAUACACCGAAGCUACGGGUAUCACGUAAGUGAUGCGGUAGAGGAGCGUUCUGUAAGCCUGUGAAGGUGAGUUGAGAAGCUUGCUGGAGGUAUCAGAAGUGCGAAUGCUGACAUGAGUAACGAUAAUGGGUGUGAAAAACACCCACGCCGAAAGACCAAGGUUUCCUGCGCAACGUUAAUCGACGCAGGGUUAGUCGGUCCCUAAGGCGAGGCUGAAAAGCGUAGUCGAUGGAAAACAGGUUAAUAUUCCUGUACUUCUGGUUAUUGCGAUGGAGGGACGGAGAAGGCUAGGCCAGCUUGGCGUUGGUUGUCCAAGUUUAAGGUGGUAGGCUGGAAUCUUAGGUAAAUCCGGGAUUCUAAGGCCGAGAGCUGAUGACGAGUUAACUUUUAGUUAACGAAGUGGUUGAUGCCAUGCUUCCAAGAAAAGCUUCUAAGCUUCAGGUAACCAGGAACCGUACCCCAAACCGACACAGGUGGUUGGGUAGAGAAUACCAAGGCGCUUGAGAGAACUCGGGUGAAGGAACUAGGCAAAAUGGCACCGUAACUUCGGGAGAAGGUGCGCCGGUGAGGGUGAAGGACUUGCUCCGUAAGCUCAUGCCGGUCGAAGAUACCAGGCCGCUGCGACUGUUUAUUAAAAACACAGCACUCUGCAAACACGAAAGUGGACGUAUAGGGUGUGACGCCUGCCCGGUGCCGGAAGGUUAAUUGAUGGGGUUAGCUAACGCGAAGCUCUUGAUCGAAGCCCCGGUAAACGGCGGCCGUAACUAUAACGGUCCUAAGGUAGCGAAAUUCCUUGUC